CAGCUAAACGCCAUUUUAAAAAUUACGCUCACCUCCAUAGUUUCUACAUUGAUAAAGCGUUCAGCUACUUCGCCACCACGAGCUACGAUCCGCCGCGCCAUCUGCAAGGCCGUCUGUGUAAUCGCGUUUAUGCGUUUAUUGUCUACGUCGUGGGUGGUCACGUUGGUCGCGCGAAGCAGAAAAUGGAAGUGAAUGACAUGUCUGUGGCUACUGUGUCACGUAUUCAAGAGACCUACAUACGCCUGGUGUAGUUUUGGUGUUCGGGGAUGCAAAAAUCAUCUUCGUUCAUCUUCGACGACGGGCGUUAUCUAACACAAGAUUCCUUAGGAGAGUGCGCGAAAACGAAUGCGGUUCGAAGCACUGCUGAGCUCAUUUUGUUGCCGAUGACUACGAAGAUGCCGUAGAAGGCGAAUUGCGAAGACGUCCGAAGCAAACCGCCAUUCAGUAACCAGUGAUUUUGCUUCACCGAGGUGACGUGUUCAACACAACGUCUCAGGGUCUUCCAGUGUUGAAGUGGCUCCAGACUGAUUCGUGUGUGUGUGUCCCAGGCACUCAAUUUGACCUGACAGCAAUAGCUGAAAGCAGGUAUGCAAAGUUCACAGAUGGAAGCAUUAGAGUUUUUAAGUGUUGCAGACUUUGUGACAUUUUUUGGAGUCUUUGGACAGCUGCAGAACAUUAGUAUGACGUCAAACACUAGGAGAAGAAACCGAUGAGAACUACUACUUCUUUGAAGAGUAGCGGAAUACUUCAUGUUGAGGUAUAGUUAUGACUAAGGAACGCUUUUCUAGAGAUGCAUCCUCUACACUUGAAUGCCCAGUGAAACAGCGAAAGUUCAUUGUCUUUGAAGCCCCACUACUGGAAUUGUUCAAAGUGUGUCGCAGCUACAGUGAGCCAUGCAAGGUUACCACAUCAUAUUGGUCCUAAAUUUGCAGAGUUCCCCUAUCUCGGACACAGCGGUCGUUUCUCUUUAUUGCUCUCCCGAUCGUACCAUCUCAGAGAUUAAUGUGUUCUAUAUGCGUUGCAUGGGCACUGCCUUUUUCUACUCAUGGUGUCAGUUUCUUGUUCUGUUGAAUAGAUCUUCAAUUGACAGUUUGCAGUCAUCACGCUGUCUACUGUGUUUGCCCCUCAUCUAUAUUGAUGUGCUAUAACGGUAUAGCACAUCAACAUGCCAACAACCUACCAACAACAACCAAACAACCUUGCCUUGCCUUAUCAAGAUGCCAAAUCUUUUUGUUGCCGCAGAUCAUAACUUCAAAGAGUUUUCCUCUGCACCCUGCCACGAGUGAAAAGUGUAGGGUAGUCCAACUUUUGGAUGGAAACUACACAAUGUGGUAACAUCCACAUAUCUGAAAUUUUAGUCGACGGAAAUUUGCUGUUUUUGUAGAACCUUCACUGUACAUUUCUUUUGUCUCACUUAGCACACGUGAAGAAAAGUUCUCAGCUUCAUCAAGACGACAGGUCAUUGUUGGAUCUAUCUGCAGCAUUAUUGUUCCUGUACUCUUUUCAUCAACAGAGAAUACAAAAGUGCACAAAUGGUUUUACAACUCUAUCAAGUACUUCAAAACAUCAGAGGGCAGAAAGUCCUACUCUGUCUCCUUAA